GCGGACGGCUCAGUAACACGUAGUCAACCUAACUCGUGGACGUGGAUAACCUCGGGAAACUGAGAAUAAACCACGAUAGAUCAUAGUGCCUGGAAUGGCUUAUGGUCCAAACAGUUUACUGCCAUGGGAUGGGACUGCGGCCUAUCAGCUUGUUGGUGAGGUAAUGGCCCACCAAGGCUAUUACAGGUACGGGCUCUGAGAGGAGAAGCCCGGAGAUGGGUACUGAGACACGGACCCAGGCCCUAUGGGGCGCAGCAGGCGAGAAACCUUNGCAAUGUGCGAAAGCACGACUGGGUCANUCCGAGUGNUUCCUGAUAAAGGAGUCUUUUGCUUGUCCUAAAAGCACAGGUGAAUAAGGGGUGGGCAAGUCUGGUGUCAGCCGCCGCGGUAAUACCAGCACCUCGAGUGGUCAGGACGUUUAUUGGGCCUAAAGCAUCCGUAGCCGGCUUUGCAAGUCUUCGGUUAAAUCCACCUGCUCAACAGAUGGGCCGCUGGAGAUACUACAGAGCUAGGGAGUGGGAGAGGCAGACGGUAUUCAGUGGGUAGGGGUAAAAUCCUCUGAUCCAUUGAGGACCACCAGUGGCGAAGGCGGUCUGCCAGANCACGUUCGACGGUGAGGGAUGAAAGCUGGGGGAGCAAACCGGAUUAGAUACCCGGGUAGUCCCAGCUGUAAACGGAUGCAAACCUCGGUGAUGCAUUUGGCUUUAUGGCCA
rnacentral:rRNA from 1 species